rnacentral:sRNA from 1 species
CCCUAGCCCUGAUGGUCUCGAAGCGUCGGGAGAAAUCCUACCGUUUUUUCGGGAGAUUGCAACGUACAGCGGGAAAAAGC